UACGGAGGGUGCAAGCGUUAUCCGGAUUCACUGGGUUUAAAGGGUGCGUAGGUGGGCAGGUAAGUCAGUGGUGAAAUCUUUGGGCUUAACCCGAAAACUGCCAUUGAUACUAUUGAUCUUGAAUACAGUUGAGGUGGGCGGAAUGUGUCGUGUAGCGGUGAAAUGCUUAGAUAUGACACAGAACACCGAUUGCGAAGGCAGCUCGCUAAACUGUGAUUGACGCUGAGGCACGAAAGCGUGGGGAUCAAACAGG
rnacentral:rRNA from 1 species